rnacentral:rRNA from 1 species
UAGGGAAUAUUGGACAAUGGGCGCAAGCCUGAUCCAGCAAUGCCGCGUGGAUGAAGAAGGUUUUCGGAUUGUAAAGUCCUUUCGGCGGGGACGAUGAUGACGGUACCCGCAGAAGAAGCCCCGGCUAACUUCGUGCCAGCAGCCGCGGUAAUACGAAGGGGGCUAGCGUUGCUCGGAAUGACUGGGCGUAAAGGGCGCGUAGGCGGUUUCCGCAGUCAGGCGUGAAAGUCCUGGGCUCAACCUGGGGAUUGCGCUUGAGACGUGGAGGCUUGAGUGGGGAAGAGGGUCGUGGAAUUCCCAGUGUAGAGGUGAAAUUCGUAGAUAUUGGGAAGAACACCGGUGGCGAAGGCGGCGACCUGGUCCUUUACUGACGCUGAAGCGCGAAAGCGUGGGGAGCAAACAGGAUUAGAUACCCUGGUAGUCCACGCUGUAAACGAUGUGCGCUGGAUGUUGGGGAACCUAGCUUCUCAGUGUCGCAGCUAACGCGGUAAGCGCACCGCCUGGGGAGUACGGCCGC